rnacentral:rRNA from 1 species
GAUGAACGCUGGCGGCGUGCCUAAUACAUGCAAGUCGAGCGAACAGACGAGGAGCUUGCUCCUCUGACGUUAGCGGCGGACGGUGAGUAACACGUGGAUAACCUACCUAUAAGACUGGGAUAACUUCGGGAAACCGGAGCUAAUACCGGAUAAUAUAUUGAACCGCAUGGUUCAAUAGUGAAAGACGGUUUUGCUGUCACUUAUAGAUGGAUCCGCGCCGCAUUAGCUAGUUGGUAAGGUAACGGCUUACCAAGGCAACGAUGCGUAGCCGACCUGAGAGGGUGAUCGGCCACACUGGAACUGAGACACGGUCCAGACUCCUACGGGAGGCAGCAGUAGGGAAUCUUCCGCAAUGGGCGAAAGCUUGACGGAGCAACGCCGCGUGAGUGAUGAAGGUCUUCGGAUCGUAAAACUCUGUUAUUAGGGAAGAACAAAUGUGUAAGUAACUAUGCACGUCUUGACGGUACCUAAUCAGAAAGCCACGGCUAACUACGUG